AUACGAAGGGGGCUAGCGUUGUUCGGAAUUACUGGGCGUAAAGCGCGCGUAGGCGGACUGAUCAGUUGGGGGUGAAAUCCCAGGGCUUAACCCUGGAACUGCCUCCAAUACUGUCAGUCUUGAGUUCGGGAGAGGUGAGUGGAAUUCCUAGUGUAGAGGUGAAAUUCGUAGAUAUUAGGAAGAACACCAGUGGCGAAGGCGGCUCACUGGCUCGAUACUGACGCUGAGGCGCGAAAGCGUGGGGAGCAAACAGGAUUAGAAACCCCUGUAGUCC
rnacentral:rRNA from 1 species